rnacentral:rRNA from 1 species
UGGGGAAUAUUGGACAAUGGGCGCAAGCCUGAUCCAGCAAUGCCGCGUGUGUGAAGAAGGCCUUCGGGUUGUAAAGCACUUUUAUCAGGAGCGAAACGCUGUCGGCUAAUACCCGGCGGAACUGACGGUACCUGAGGAAUAAGCACCGGCUAACUUCGUGCCAGCAGCCGCGGUAAUACGAAGGGUGCAAGCGUUAAUCGGAAUUACUGGGCGUAAAGCGUGCGUAGGCGGUUUCUUAAGUCUGCUGUGAAAUCCCCGGGCUCAACCUGGGAAUGGCAGUGGAUACUGGGAGGCUAGAGUGUGUCAGAGGGUGGUGGAAUUCCCGGUGUAGCGGUGAAAUGCGUAGAGAUCGGGAGGAACAUCAGUGGCGAAGGCGGCCACCUGGGACAACACUGACGCUGAGGCACGAAAAGCGUGGGGAGCAAACAGGAUUAGAUACCCUGGUAGUCCACGCCCUAAAAGCGAUGCGAACUGGAUGUUGGUCUCAACUCGGAGAUCAGUGUCGAAGCUAACGCGUUAAAGUUCGCCGCCUGGGGAGUACGGUCGCAAGACUGAAACUCAAAGGAAUUGAC